UAUCCAACCUGCCCACCACUUGGGGAUAACCUUGCGAAAGUAAGACUAAUACCCAAUGACGUCUCUAGAAGACAUCUGAAGGAGAUUAAAGAUUUAUCGGUGAUGGAUGGGGAUGCGUCUGAUUAGCUUGUUGGCGGGGUAACGGCCCACCAAGGCGACGAUCAGUAGGGGUUCUGAGAGGAAGGUCCCCCACAUUGGAACUGAGACACGGUCCAAACUCCUACGGGAGGCAGCAGUGAGGAAUAUUGGUCAAUGGGCGAGAGCCUGAACCAGCCAAGUAGCGUGCAGGAUGACGGCCCUAUGGGUUGUAAACUGCUUUUAUAAGGGAAUAAAGUGAGUCUCGUGAGACUUUUUGCAUGUACCUUAUGAAUAAGGACCGGCUAAUUCCGUGCCAGCAGCCGCGGUAAUACGGAAGGUCCGGGCGUUAUCCGGAUUUAUUGGGUUUAAAGGGAGCGUAGGCCGGAGAUUAAGCGUGUUGUGAAAUGUAGACGCUCAACGUCUGCACUGCAGCGCGAACUGGUUUCCUUGAGUACGCACAAAGUGGGCGGAAUUCGUGGUGUAGCGGUGAAAUGCUUAGAUAUCACGAAGAACUCCGAUUGCGAAGGCAGCUCACUGGAGCGCAACUGACGCUGAAGCUCGAAAGUGCGGGUAUCGAACAGGAUUAGAUACCCUGGUAGUCCGCACGGUAAACGAUGGAUGCCCGCUGUUGGUCUGAAUAGGUCAGCGGCCAAGCGAAAGCAUUAAGCAUCCCACCUGGGGAGUACGCCGGCAACGGU
rnacentral:rRNA from 1 species